UUGGUUGUUGUCUAUUGAUGUUGCUGUUGGGUUCCAUGGAAACAGGUUCUAAGAUGGAAAUUUAUGUGCAGUAACAACUUGGAAGGAGUGAAGGAAGCAGGACUGGACAGAAGGUGAACUGCUAACCCCACAGGGACUCUGGACCUGGAUGGAUCAUCAGAGCGUCUUGGACUGAGGCAAGGUGGCUGGGCCUCUGUGCCCCUGCUUCCAUCAGGAGGAAGUCCUCACAGAGCUCACAUAGGAGGGUGAGUAUGAACAGAGGACCAAGGAGCAGACCCUGGGCCUCCGACACUUAAAGGCUGGGCGAGGGAAGAGACGCAGGGAAGGAGACUGAGACGAGGCAGGCGAGGAGGAAGAAACCAGGAGAGUGGUGUUGAGUUCCGGAUGCUCCACCGUGACUUUCAUUUGAUUUUCCCACGGCAGUGCAAACAAAAAGGAAGAUGGCGUGGAGAUAUUGAUUUCAGACGUAGUAUGAAAUGGAAUGAAGGGCUAUUUUAUAUUGAUAAAUGAUCCAACUCGAUGGAGAGAAAAGAUCCACAAUAAAAGUUCUAAAAGUA